rnacentral:rRNA from 1 species
UACGGAGGAUGCAAGCGUUAUCCGGAAUGAUUGGGCGUAAAGCGUCCGCAGGUGGCUGUGUAAGUCUGCUGUUAAAGAGUGAGGCUCAACCUCAUAAAAGCAGUGGAAACUACACGGCUAGAGUGCGUUCGGGGCAGAGGGAAUUCCUGGUGUAGCGGUGAAAUGCGUAGAUAUCAGGAAGAACACCGGUGGCGAAAGCGCUCUGCUAGGCCGCAACUGACGCUGAGGCGCGAGAGCGUGGGGAGCAAACAGG